rnacentral:rRNA from 1 species
GUAGGGUGCGAGCGUUAAUCGGAAUUACUGGGCGUAAGCGUGCGCAGGCGGUUUUGUAAGCCAGAUGUGAAAUCCCCGGGCUUAACCUGGGAAUGGCAUUUGGGACUGCAAGGCUGGAGUAUGGCAGAGGGGACUAGAAUUCCUGGUGUAGCAGUGAAAUGCGUAGAUAUCAGGAAGAAUACCGAUGGCGAAGGCAGGUCCCUGGGCUAAUACUGACGCUCAUGCACGAAAGCGUGGGGAGCAAACAGGAUUAGAUACCCUGGUAGUCCACGCCCUAAACGAUGUCGACUGGUUGUUGGGGGUUUGACACUCUCAGUAACGAAGCUAACGCGUGAAGUCGACCGCCUGGGGAGUACGGCCGCAAGGUUA